UACGAAGGGGGCUAGCGUUGUUCGGAAUUACUGGGCGUAAAGCGCGCGCAGGCGGUCCUUCAAGUCAGAGGUGAAAGCCCAGAGCUCAACUCUGGAACGGCCUUUGAGACUAGAGGACUUGGGUACGGGAGAGGUGAGUGGAAUUCCGAGUGUAGAGGUGAAAUUCGUAGAUAUUCGGAAGAACACCAGUGGCGAAGGCGGCUCACUGGCCCGUUACCGACGCUCAGGCGCGACAGCGUGGGGAGCAAACGGG
rnacentral:rRNA from 1 species